AAUUUGUCUAAGUUGGUAGAAAACAUAAAACUGUCGACGGAGAUGGUUCAAAAUAUUUUUAUCUUUAAUUCAAAAAACACGUAAUAUCUAGACUCUAAUUCAUUAACCAAACCUUAUAAAUCAAUUUAUUUAGUAAACAUUGAGAAUUCAUUAUUUUAGUAUCAUAACUUAGGGUAUAAAUAGUGCAAUAAAUAACAUAAUUCAGUAUUCAGUAUCAUAAUUUAGGCAGUAAGCAGUUCAGUAUUUCAGUAUCAUAAACAUUACACACGACUUUCUAUUCAUUCCUAUCAGCUUAUAUCCUAUAAAAUAACUUCACCACGCGAUGUCAUUUAUGUAAGUAUCAACGAGAGUAGUAAAGAUCCCUUUUACCACGUGAAUACGUUACAGUUGAGCUCACAGUUUAUAGUUUACAAUACAUAGUAUUUAGUUCAUAAUUCCUAUCACUUCGUCACGUCUAACUAAAAUAGUAUCCAUAGGUAGGGUUCACCACAGUCACACGCCAAAAAGGUACACACACACACCCACUAUUCGAUGAUACCAGUUAAAUGAGUUUUUCAAAUAUUUUAUUAUCUAUUUAUUUAUUUUAAUUCACUAAUUAAUUUUCUAAUUUUUAUUAUUUAAUAUAUUUUAUACCUAUAACAUGCAUACGGUAAUCAUUCAUUACCCUAGAUUCUUCUACAUAUUCUUACUAUACUCUAAAUUACAUAGAAACUAGUACAUCUACGAAUUCAGUUACCAAAACAUAGUAAAACAAUUCAUCAGCAAUUUUAAUAGUAAAUAUAAAUAAGAACACAAUAAUCAGUAGUAAAAUCCCGUCGGAAUCAUGUGCCUAAUCAUUAAUUAUUAAAUAUCAUAGUUUUUAAUAUAUUAGAAAGAUUAAACUACAUUUGUAAGCAUUCAUACACUUAUCUGAUUUCAGUCUAAAUCUCUUUCGUGAAGUUAUCUCUAAUGUAUAAGAUCAACUUAUUACAGCGAUAUCCGGAUCGGGUUAGUAAUGAGCUAGUUAUUCCCUAAUUUCAAACACUCGUGUCUAUACUUAUUUCUAAUUAUAAACCAGAUAUGUAAUUUGUUAUAUUAAAAUUAAAUAGGAUUAAUAAAUCCUAAAUCUAAAACAAUAAACCAUCAAGGUUUUUUUUUUAACUCUCCUU
rnacentral:lncRNA from 1 species